UAAAAGCAUCUAGCUGUGGGGCGGCCUCUAGUUCACCCAGUAAGAGUGUUCGGCCCACGUUGGCCGAGUCCUGCAGCAUCCCGGGUUCGAAUCUGACCUGAGGCCUUUUGCUGCGUGUCAUCCCCCAUCUAUCGACCUUUUUCAUUUCUAUCCACUAUGAUAAAGGGAAAAAGCCCCCAAAAAAUAAUCUUAAAA